UACGUAGGUGGCAAGCGUUGUCCGGAUUUACUGGGCGUAAAGAGCGCGCAGGCGGUCGAUUUAGUCGCGUGUGAAAGCCCCCGGCUCAACUGGGGAGGGUCACGCGAUACUGAUCGACUCGAAGGCAGGAGAGGGUAGUGGAAUUCCCGGUGUAGUGGUGAAAUGCGCAGAUAUCAGGAGGAACACCGAUGGCGAAGGCAGUGUUCUGGGCCAGUACUGACGCUGAGGAGCGAAAGCGUGGGUAGCAAACAGG
rnacentral:rRNA from 1 species